rnacentral:rRNA from 1 species
UACGUAGGGUGCGAGCGUUGUCCGGAAUCACUGGGCGUAAAGGGCGCGUAGGUGGCCUGGUAAGUAGGGGGUGAAAUCUCGAGGCUCAACUUCGAGGCUGCCUCCUAAACUGUCAGGCUCGAGCAGAGUAGAGGCAGGUGGAAUUCCCGGUGUAGCGGUGGAAUGCGUAGAGAUCGGGAGGAACACCAGUGGCGAAGGCGACUACCUGGCCUGUUCUUGACGCUGAGGCGCGAAAGCUAGGGGAGCAAACGGG